rnacentral:lncRNA from 1 species
GAGCUUUGUCGGAUAGAAAUCGACCUAAUGCAAGUGCAUGUAUACAUGUACAUUGCUAAUACUUUGAUUGAUUUUGUGACAUUCAAAUACGGAAAUUAAAGAUGGAUGUUGGUCUGAUUUGAGAAUUUUUUGUCUACCCAAAAUUAGUUAACAGAUGUUUGGAUAUUUAUUUGCAUAAGGUCGAUUUCUAUCCGACAAAGCUCAUUUAUUGAUUGAUGUUUUCUGAACGUACAGUGACAAAUAUGUCAUGCAGAUUUAAAACCGGGAGGAAAAUAUUAAAAAAAAUGAAUAAGAUUUUACAUGGGUUGUCG